AUGUGGUCAGAGUAAUGGGUGUCAUCAGUUCGGUUGCCUUUUCAUUUUCCUGAAGCUUGAAGACAGGAAUUUUCUUCACACGGGACUUCUGGGAAGUUAAGGGAAAGGUAACACUGGCAGCAGUUUGCUGUAUUGGCUUCUUCACGUGACGUGGCUUUGGAAAGAUGCUUACCUGCAGAUCUUAGCUGCCGUCCUGCUCUGCCUCUCCUAUUUGGUCAAUUUGAUGAAUUGUAAAUUUGUGAGUUAAAGCACUAUAUUGCUUUAAUUACCCAUGAGGAGCAUACAUAGUAAAAUAACGUUCAAUAAAAAAACAAAAUCUGAG
rnacentral:lncRNA from 1 species